rnacentral:tRNA from 1 species
UGAAUAGAAUCUAAUAAAUAGAGUUACAGUGAUAGUGUAUUUAAGCAAUUAUGCCUAUUCAA